rnacentral:rRNA from 1 species
UACGAGUGCCUCGAGCGUUAUCCGGAAUCAUUGGGCGUAAAGGGUGUGUAGGCGGCUGUGUUAGUCUCGCGUUAAAUUCUCCGGCUCAACCGGGGAGCUGCGUGGGAAACGGCACGGCUUAGAGGACAGGAGAGGUCUCUGGAACUCAUGGUGUAGCGGUGAAAUGCGUUGAUAUCAUGGGGAACACCAAAAGCGAAGGCAAGAGACUGGCCUGCUUCCUGACGCUGAAACACGAAAGCGUGGGUCGCGAAUGGG